rnacentral:rRNA from 1 species
ACUUAGAAUGAGAGCUUCGGCAGGAUUUUUAUUUAUCUUAGUGGCGGACGGGUGAGUAACGUGUGGGCAACCUGCCCUAUACUGGGGAAUAAUCACUGGAAACGGUGACUAAUACCGCAUGUCAUUACGGAAGGGCAUCCUUCUGUAAGAAAAGGAGUAAUUCGGUAUAGGAUGGGCCCGCAUCUGAUUAGCUAGUUGGUGAGAUAACAGCCCACCAAGGCGACGAUCAGUAGCCGACCUGAGAGGGUGAUCGGCCACAUUGGGACUGAGACACGGCCCAAACUCCUACGGGAGGCAGCAGUGGGGAAUAUUGCACAAUGGGGGAAACCCUGAUGCAGCAACGCCGCGUGAAGGAUGAAGGUUUUCGGAUCGUAAACUUCUAUCAAUAGGGACGAAGAAAGUGACGGUACCUAAAUAAGAAGCCCCGGCUAACUACGUGCCAGCAGCCGCGGUAAUACGUAGGGGGCAAGCGUUAUCCGGAAUUACUGGGUGUAAAGGGAGCGUAAGCGGCACGCCAAGCCAGAUGUGAAAGCCCGAGGCUUAACCUCGCGGAUUGCAUUUGGAACUGGCGAGCUAGAGUACAGGAGAGGAAAGCGGAAUUCCUAGUGUAGCGGUGAAAUGCGUAGAUAUUAGGAAGAACACCAGUGGCGAAGGCGGCUUUCUGGACUGAAACUGACGCUGAGGCUCGAAAGCGUGGGGAGCAAACAGGAUUAGAUACCCUGGUAGUCCACGCCGUAAACGAUGAGUGCUAGGUGUCGGGGAGGAAUCCUCGGUGCCGCAGCUAACGCAAUAAGCAC